GAAAAAAAAUGAUACUAUUGUCGUAUACACAUGAUAUGCAUACACGGUGUAUAUUGAUAACGCAUGAUAUUAAAAGACGUUGCUGCCGCGGCGCAUUCGACCAUGGCUUG
rnacentral:rRNA from 1 species